rnacentral:rRNA from 1 species
GCCUACGGGGGGCAGCAGUGGGGAAUAUUGCACAAUGGGGGAAACCCUGAUGCAGCAACGCCGCGUGAAGGAAGACGGUUUUCGGAUUGUAAACUUCUGUUCUUAGUGAAGAAGAAUGACGGUAGCUAAGGAGCAAGCCACGGCUAACUACGUGCCAGCAGCCGCGGUAAUACGUAGGUGGCAAGCGUUGUCCGGAAUUACUGGGUGUAAAGGGAGCGCAGGCGGGAAGCCAAGUCAGCUGUGAAAACUACGGUCUUAACUUGUAGACUUCAGUUUAAACUGGUUUUCUUGAGUGAAGU